GAGUGAGGUAGGUGAACACUGUACUUGCUGACAAGGAGAGUGAGGUAGGUGAACACUGUACUUGCUGACAAGGAGAGUGAGGUAGGUGAACACUGUACUUGCUGACAAGGAGGGUGAGGUAGGUGAACACUGUACUUGCUGACAAGGAGAGUGAGGUAGGUGAACACUGUACUUGCUGACAAGGAGAGUGAGGUAGGUGAACACUGUACUUGCUGACAAGGAGGGUGAGGUAGGUGAACACUGUACUUGCUGACAAGGAGAGG